AGCGAACGCUGGCGGCAGGCCUAACACAUGCAAGUCGAACGAACCUUUCGGGGUUAGUGGCGGACGGGUGAGUAACACGUGGGAACGUGCCUUUAGGUUCGGAAUAACUCAGGGAAACUUGUGCUAAUACCGAAUGUGCCCUUCGGGGGAAAGAUUUAUCGCCUUUAGAGCGGCCCGCGUCUGAUUAGCUAGUUGGUUGAGGUAAUGGCUCACCAAGGCGACGAUCAGUAGCUGGUCUGAGAGGAUGAUCAGCCACAUUGGGACUGAGACACGGCCCAAACUCCUACGGGAGGCAGCAGUGGGGAAUCUUGCGCAAUGGGCGAAAGCCUGACGCAGCCAUGCCGCGUGAAUGAUGAAGGUCUUAGGAUUGUAAAAUUCUUUCACCGGGGACGAUAAUGACGGGACCCGGAGAAGAAGCCCCGGCGAACUUCGG
rnacentral:rRNA from 1 species